rnacentral:rRNA from 1 species
UACGGGGGGGGCAAGCGUUGUUCGGAAUUACUGGGCGUAAAGGGCUCGUAGGUGGCCAUCUAAGUCAGCCGUGAAAUCCCUCGGCUUAACCGGGGAACUGCGUCUGAUACUGGAUGGCUUGAGAUUGGGAGAGGGAUGCGGAAUUCCAGGUGUAGCGGUGAAAUACGUAGAGAUUGGGAAGAACACCAGUGGCGAAGGCGGCUAUCUGGACGGUUUCUGACGCUAAGACGCGAAAGCGUGGGGAGCAAACAGG